CAACAUUGCCUACAAAUGCAAAAGGAAUGGAUUUUGGAUUUUGAAGAAGGAUGGCACAACACCGCUUUCAUCAGAAAGGUUCUGAUAGUUUUAGCCUAAAGGUCUCAGGAUUUUCUUGCUACUCGUUCACCAAGCACAGUUGAUCUUCAGGUCGACAAAUUUCAGGGUACAUAAUGAUUUUAAUGGCCUGCAAGGCAAUCAAAACGCUCAGUUCUAGAGGAGAUCAACCCUGACUGCUCUUUAGAAGGCCAGAUCCUGAAGUUGAAACUCAAGUACUUUGUCCACCUAAUAAGAAGGAAGGACUCACUGGAGAAGAGCCUAAUGCUGGGAA